UUUCCAUGAUGAUAACUUUGACCAGUUCUGCUACUGAAUGAAAGUGGUGACAUCAGAGUCCCUGAGAAA
ensembl:snoRNA